UGGGGUGGGGCUCAGUGGUAGAGCACUUACCUAACACGUGUGAAGCACUGAGUUCGAUUCAAAGCACUCCAU
rnacentral:tRNA from 1 species